UGUUAACCUUGGGCUGUACUGUGAAUCUUACCAAAGGAAUAGAAGUUCCUGUUUCAUUGCCUGAGCUUGAACAUUGGAGGAUAGUCAAAAAUGGCACUAGUUCUUCAGUUCGCAAUAAUUAAAAUAAAAGAAACCAUCCUAGAAAGGAUUGAAGCACCCGCAUCUCGGAAAAGCCCCACAAAUGUCCUCAUCUACAUUCAGAUUCGAAUUCUGCAUCAAAAACUACCCUAGAAAAAGUAGGUAUCGUAAAGUUUCCUUCAAGGUGGUAAUGCUCCUCCUCCAGCCACUGGACUACAUUAUUUCCCUUCAUACGAUGCAUAGCAUGUAACUAUGAAAAUUGUUCCUUUAUAGCUGGCUUAAGCUCUCUAUAUUUUUCAAUUUACUGAGAGUUUACUUAAUUUAUUUUUAAUUUCAAUUUACUUAAUUUCUGGAAGUGUUUAUCUGACAUGUUGCUGUUGUAAUGUUGGCCUUUUGGGUUGAUAAAUCUAGGGAUUAAGGAAUGAUGUGAAUAGCUACCACUUUACCAGAAUAGAUGUCAUUAGAAUAUCUUCUUUCUGAUGUGUUGUUACCACUGAUCUAAAAAAAGACUGGAUCGAGCUUCUCCAGCCCAGAGUUGAAUCCACAUAGCAGCGUCCAUCUUGAGACCUCGCCGUGUUGUAUGAGACUAGAGUUCAAUCAUAUUGGUUUUAGUUCAACUUGAUUUUUCAUAGCAAAAUUCAAAGCAACCGUUGAAACAAAAACUUGCAGCAUUCGUAAAUGGUGUUAAACAUUUUUGCCGUGGUAGUAAGCUUAUGUAACGGAGAAUCCACUGUUCACUUAUUUUCCUAGGCUUGUUUUCUCUUAGAAUAUUUAGGAAUUUAAUGAUAAAUGCACAAUUUAAAGCGCAGCACUGUGUGUGCACCAUUUUAACAAAUGGCAGCCAAAGCUUUAAGCGCGAGAGGUCUCAAGAUGGAAAAAUUCGAUCGCUUCCUUUGUGUGGAUGUAGGAGAACAAAAGGUUGUUUGAUCCUGUUUUUUUAGAUCAGUGGUUGUUACUUGAAAAUUUUUAGUGUAAUCUUUUGCUAUUGCACAAAAAUUUUACGAGUAAGUGCAUUAUCUUUCAAUGCUAAGUAAUGAAUUUAAAUCAGGCACCAAAUCAUCUGACACUCAUUUUUUUUCUU